AUUGAACGCUGGCGGCAGGCCUAACACAUGCAAGUCGGGCGAGCGGCAGACGUGUGAGUAAUGUAUGGGGAUCUGCCUUAUGGGGGGGUAUAAAUACUGGAAACGGUAGCUAAUACCGCAUACCCUCAGAUGAACCCAUAUGGGAUUAGCUUGUAGGUGGGGUAACGGCUCACAUAGGCGACGACCCCUCGCUGGUCUGAGAGGAUGAUCAGCCACACUGGGACUGAGACACGGCCCAGACUCCUACGGGAGGCAGCAGUGGGGAAUAUUGCACAAUGGGCGCAAGCCUGAUGCAGCCAUGCCGCGUGUAUGAAGAAGGCCUUCGGGUUGUAAAGUACUUUCAGUCGGGAGGCGUUACCGACAGAAGAAGCACCGGCUAACUCCGUGCCAGCAGCCGCGGUAAUAC
rnacentral:rRNA from 1 species